rnacentral:misc_RNA from 1 species
GAUGAAGAACGCAGCGAAAUGCGAUAAGUAAUGUGAAUUGCAGAAUUCAGUGAAUCAUCGAAUCUUUGAACGCACAUUGCGCCCGUCAGUAUUCUGGCGGGCAUGCCUGUUCGAGCGUCAUUACGCCCCUCAAGUCCCCUGUGGACUUGGUGUUGGGGAUCGGCGAGGCUGGUUUUCCAGCACAGCCGUCCCUUAAAUUAAUUGGCGGUCUCGCCGUGGCCCUCCUCUGCGCAGUAGUAAAACACUCGCAACAGGAGCCCGGCGCGGUCCACUGCCGUAAAACCCCCCAACUUUUUAUAGUUGACCUCGAAUCAGGUAGGACUACCCGCUGAACUUAAGCAUAUAAAUAAGCGGAGGA